CCUACGGGUGGCAGCAGUGGGGGAUAUUGCACAAUGGGGGAAACCCUGAUGCAGCGACGCCGCGUGUGGGAAGACGGUUCUCUGGAUUGUAAACUAUAUUCACCAGGGACGAAGAGGACGGUACCUGGGGAGGAAGCUCCGGCUAACUACGUGCCAGCAGCCGCGGUAUAACGUAGGGAGCGACCGUUGUCCGGAAUUACUGGGUGUAAAGGGAGCGUAGGCGGGGAUGCAAGUUGAGGGUCAAAACUACCGGCUCAACUGGUAGUCGCACUCAAAACUGCAGCUCUUGAGUGAAGUAGAGGCAGGCGGAAUUCCUAGUGUAGCGGUGAAAUGCGUAGAUAUUAGGAGGAACACCAGUGGCGAAGGCGGCCUGCUGGGCUUUUACUGACGCUGAGGCUCGAAAGUGUGGGGAGCAAACAGGAUUAGAUACCCUUGUAGUC
rnacentral:rRNA from 1 species